GAUGAACGCUGGCGGCGUGCCUAAUACAUGCAAGUCGAGCGAACGGACGAGAAGCUUGCUUCUCUGAUGUUAGCGGCGGACGGGUGAGUAACACGUGGAUAACCUACCUAUAAGACUGGGAUAACUUCGGGAAACCGGAGCUAAUACCGGAUAAUAUUUUGAACCGCAUGGUUCAAAAGUGAAAGACGGUCUUGCUGUCACUUAUAGAUGGAUCCGCGCUGCAUUAGCUAGUUGGUAAGGUAACGGCUUACCAAGGCAACGAUGCAUAGCCGACCUGAGAGGGUGAUCAGCCACACUGGAACUGAGACACGGUCCAGACUCCUACGGGAGGCAGCAGUAGGGAAUCUUCCGCAAUGGGCGAAAGCCUGACGGAGCAACGCCGCGUGAGUGAUGAAGGUCUUCGGAUCGUAAAACUCUGUUAUUAGGGAAGAAAAUAUGUGUAAGUAACUGUGCACAUCUUGACGGUACCUAAUCAGAAAGCCACGGCUAACUACGUG
rnacentral:rRNA from 1 species